UACGAAGGGGGCUAGCGUUGUUCGAAAUUACUGGGCGUAAAGCGCACGUAGGCGGAUCCUUGAAGUCAGGGGUGAAAUCCCGAGGCUCAACCUCGGAACUGCCUUUGAUACUGGGGAUAUCGAGUCCGGGAGAGGUGAGUGGAACUGCGAGUGUAGAGGUGAAAUUCGUAGAUAUUCGCAAGAACACCAGUGGCGAAGGCGGCUCACUGGCCCGGUACUGACGCUGAGGUGCGAAAGCGUGGGGAGCAAACAGG
rnacentral:rRNA from 1 species